AUUGAACGCUGGCGGAAUGCUUUACACAUGCAAGUCGAACGAUGAACCUUAGCUUGCUAAGGGGAUUAGUGGCGAACGGGUGAGUAAUAUAUCGGAACGUGCCUUGUAAUGGGGGAUAACUAGUCGAAAGAUUAGCUAAUACCGCAUACGCCCUGAGGGGGAAAGUAGGGGAUCUUCGGACCUUACGUUAUAAGAGCGGCCGAUAUCUGAUUAGCUAGUUGGUGGGGUAAUGGCCUACCAAGGCGACGAUCAGUAGCUGGUCUGAGAGGACGACCAGCCACACUGGAACUGAGACACGGUCCAGACUCCUACGGGGGGCAGCAGUGGGGAAUUUUGGACAAUGGGCGCAAGCCUGAUCCAGCCAUUCCGCGUGAGUGAAGAAGGCCUUCGGGUUGUAAAGCUCUUUCGCAAGGGAAGAAAACUUACCAUCGAAUAAAUGGUGAGGCUGACGGUACCUUGAUAAGAAGCACCGGCUAACUACGUG
rnacentral:rRNA from 1 species